GAUGAACGCUGGCGGCGUGCCUAACACAUGCAAGUCGAGCGAACAGACGAUGAGCUCGCUCCUUUGACGUUAGCGGCGGACGGGCGAGUAACACGUGGAUAACAUACUUAUAAGACUGGGAUAAUUACGGGAGACCGGUGAUAAUACUGGAUAACAUGAUGAACCGCAUGGAUCAACAGUGAUAGACGGUCUUGCCGUCACUUAUAGACGGAUCCGCGCCGGAUUAGCUAGUUGGUAAGGUAACGGCUUACCAAGGCAACGAUGCGUAGCUGACCUGAGAGGAUGAUCAGCCACACUGGAACUGAGACACGGUCCAGACUCCUACGGGAGGCAGCAGUGGGGAAUAUUCGACAAUGGGCGAAAGCCUGAUGGAGCAACGCCGCGUGAGUGAAGAAGGUCUUCGGGUCGUAAAGCUCUGUUAUUAGGAAAGAACAGAAGUGUGAGUAACUAUGCACGUCUUGACGGUACCUAAUCAGAAAGCCACGGCUAACUACGUG
rnacentral:rRNA from 1 species